CCUGCCCCUAGAGGCGUUGCGGGUGGGGCUGCUGUGUCUCAUGCGCGUCAACAGAUGGCAGAGGGGACAGCGGCCAUGUCUACACUCAGUCUUCUCACCUGAGAGCAUCUCAAUUAGCAGCCUAACACU
ensembl:snoRNA